rnacentral:rRNA from 1 species
GCGACAGGCUUAACACAUGCAAGUCGAGGGGCAGCACAGGUAGCAAUACCGGGUGGCGACCGGCGCACGGGUGAGUAACGCGUAUGCAACUUACCUAUCAGAGGGGGAUAACCCGGCGAAAGUCGGACUAAUACCGCAUGAAGCAGGGGUCCCGCAUGGGGAUAUUUGCUAAAGAUUCAUCGCUGAUAGAUAGGCAUGCGUUCCAUUAGGCAGUUGGCGGGGUAACGGCCCACCAAACCGACGAUGGAUAGGGGUUCUGAGAGGAAGGUCCCCCACAUUGGUACUGAGACACGGACCAAACUCCUACGGGAGGCAGCAGUGAGGAAUAUUGGUCAAUGGCCGAGAGGCUGAACCAGCCAAGUCGCGUGAGGGAUGAAGGUUCUAUGGAUCGUAAACCUCUUUUAUAAGGGAAUAAAGUGCGGGACGUGUCCCGUUUUGUAUGUACCUUAUGAAUAAGGAUCGGCUAACUCCGUGCCAGCAGCCGCGGUAAUACGGAGGAUCCGAGCGUUAUCCGGAUUUAUUGGGUUUAAAGGGUGCGUAGGCGGCCUUUUAAGUCAGCGGUGAAAGUCUGUGGCUCAACCAUAGAAUUGCCGUUGAAACUGGGGGGCUUGAGUAUGUUUGAGGCAGGCGGAAUGCGUGGUGUAGCGGUGAAAUGCAUAGAUAUCACGCAGAACCCCGAUUGCGAAGGCAGCCUGCCAAGCCAUUACUGACGCUGAUGCACGAAAGCGUGGGGAUCAAACAGGAUUAGAUACCCUGGUAGUCCACGCAGUAAACGAUGAUCACUAGCUGUUUGCGAUACACUGUAAGCGGCACAGCGAAAGCGUUAAGUGAUCCACCUGGGGAGUACGCCGGCAACGGUGAAACUCAAAGGAAUUGACGGGGGCCCGCACAAGCGGAGGAACAUGUGGUUUAAUUCGAUGAUACGCGAGGAGCCUUACCCGGGUUUGAACGCAUUCGGACCGAGGUGGAAACACCUUUUCUAGCAAUAGCCGUUUGCGAGGUGCUGCAUGGUUGUCGUCAGCUCGUGCCGUGAGGUGUCGGCUUAAGUGCCAUAACGAGCGCAACCCUUGCCACUAGUUACUAACAGGUAAAGCUGAGGACUCUGGUGGGACUGCCAGCGUAAGCUGCGAGGAAGGCGGGGAUGACGUCAAAUCAGCACGGCCCUUACAUCCGGGGCGACACACGUGUUACAAUGGCGUGGACAAAGGGAAGCCACCUGGCGACAGGGAGCGAAUCCCCAAACCACGUCUCAGUUCGGAUCGGAGUCUGCAACCCGACUCCGUGAAGCUGGAUUCGCUAGUAAUCGCGCAUCAGCCAUGGCGCGGUGAAUACGUUCCCGGGCCUUGUACACACCGCCCGUCAAGCCAUGGGAGCCGGGGGUACCUGAAGUCCGUAACCGCGAGGAUCGGCCUAGGGUAAAACUGGUGACUGGGGCUAAG